CCCACCCCCACCCCAGGUCUCUUUGGGACCCCGACUCCUGUUGCUCUCCUGUAAUUAGGCCGCACAGCCAGGGCCCAGAGCCUCACCACUGCCACAUUCAGACAAGCAUACCUUGGGGCCUUCUCGGCGAAUUGGUUCACAGGAUUUUGGUUUCCAUCUGCUUGGGAGGAAAGAAGACAGUUCCCUUCAGCUCUUACAGCACUGGUGGCCCCUACUCACACCAUGCCAGCAGCUGCCCGGUCAUUUGACAGGACGUGUCCAGGAGGCCGACCUUUCCUCUGCACAAAGAACAGCUGUCAGAGCCCUCACCCGUGGAGCUAGGGACAGAACUCAGGCAAGCACCGUGCCGCGGAGCUACACUCCAGUCAGAAGAGUCUUGUGGAAAUGCAGACCCCUCAGGCCACUCUUGUGGUCACACAUGCACGCCUUCCCCUGGGCUUGAGUGCUCGGCCUACUUCUGCAGCCACUCAUGCACUACCACACUACGUGUGACACUAGCGACACCCGCCGCUCCCGCUCCUUAGAUACACUCACCCUUCUGCCCCUCGACUCCUCAUCCAGCACUCUCGCCAGACAACCACUUGUCAAGUACCAUCAAGGGCAUCAAGUAAACUAGAACGUCCACAACUACUGUCACUGUUCUGCGCAUCAGCUCCCAGAACGAACCCACCCUACAACUGCCAGCUUCCUUAGCUCCCCAGGGAACCACCGUCUCAUUCUGUGCCUGUGAGUCUGCUACGCACACUUUCCUCACGUCAAACAGGACUGGACAAGCAGUCCUUACAGGGCUUUUCCCGAGACCUAAGGGAGAUGAUGAUGCACCUGACAUAGCACCUGGCACACACUUGAGCUACUUUUCCUUCCCGUGUGUCAGCAACUGUCCUGAGCUCUUCCUGGGUAAGUCUUCCUGACGUGCCCCGAGUCCCACUGGUGAGAGAGCACUUUUCUUACUGACGUAGUGACGCAUCCUGUCUGCACCCCUUGGCCUCACCU